CGCGGUAUUUUGACUGUGCGAAGGUAGCAUAAUCACUUGUUUUUUAAUUGGAGACUUGUAUGAAUGGCUGAACGAGAAAAUAACUGUCUCUUUUAAAAAUCUUGAAUUUUACUUUUUAGUGAAAAGGCUUAAAUAAUUUUAAGGGACGAUAAGACCCUAUAAAUCUUCAUAUUAUUUUUCUUUAAAUUUCAAAUUAUAUAUUAAAAGAAAAAAAGAAAAAAAUAUUAUAUUGGGGAGAUAAAAAUAUAAUUUUUAACUGUUUUAAACAUAGAACAAUAAUUUUUGAUUUACAAAUAUUGAUCCUUUUUAAAGAUUUUAAGAUCAAGUUACUUUAGGGAUAACAGCGUAAUUUUUUUUGAGAGUUCAUAUCGAAAAAAAAGUUUGCGACCUCGAUGUUGAAUUAAAAUAUCCUUAUAAGUGCAGAAGCUAUAAAGGAAAGUCUGUUCGACUUUUAAAAUUUUACGU
rnacentral:rRNA from 1 species